GACAGCCGGCUCCUCUCAUUGUUGGCACAAACAGCUCCAAACAAUUGCACUGACCACACAACUCCAAGCCACAUUCCAGGGCGCUGCCGUCUGCUCAGGAGUGAAUGCUGGGAAAAUGAACCAAGCUGCUAAUGUGCUUGAUUGGGGGAAAAAUAAGAACCCCAGUAACAAUGGGCGCAAUUUAUUUUUCCAACAAGAAUAUGGGCAAUGCCAGUUCAUUCCCCCUCCCAAUUGUUACCAUAAAUGAAAGCAAUCACCUAAUUAGUCCUGAAUUACUAACUGGCCUUAUCACCCCUUCCUCAUUGGAGACAAUGAAUCAUCCCCACCCCGUAGAGGGCCCUCUCCUGGAGGAAAAGAAGAACAAUCGGAGAGCAGGUUUCCCAAACUGCUUCACUCCACAAACGUUUUCCAAGCCAUUUGUGAAUGGCCUUAAUAAGACUGGAAAUGUGUCUCCUAGAAAGAUCUAGGUAAAUCUCCUUCACAGGCACCAUCCCAAUGCUGUUGCAGGGUCCGAACCCCAGGGGAUUUGAAAUGCCUGUUCCCAGUAUCGUAAGUGCUAUUUGCCAUAUCGUGUUUCUCUGUAAUUGCUUCAGUUAUUCAAACUCCACUCAGUUCUGAAUCCUUACAAGCACGGGAAAUUCUCUUCUAC
rnacentral:lncRNA from 1 species